rnacentral:rRNA from 2 species
AAAUUGAAGAGUUUGAUCAUGGCUCAGAUUGAACGCUGGCGGCAGGCCUAACACAUGCAAGUCGAACGGUAACAGGAAGAAGCUUGCUUCUUUGCUGACGAGUGGCGGACGGGUGAGUAAUGUCUGGGAAACUGCCUGAUGGAGGGGGAUAACUACUGGAAACGGUAGCUAAUACCGCAUAACGUCGCAAGACCAAAGAG